rnacentral:rRNA from 1 species
AUUGAACGCUGGCAGUAUGCUUAACACAUGCAAGUCGAACGGUAGCAGGCCUUCGGGCGCUGACGAGUGGCGGACGGGUGAGUAACGCGUAGGAAUCUGCCUGGUAGUGGGGGACAACUUGGGGAAACUCAAGCUAAUACCGCAUACGCCCUACGGGGGAAAGCGGGGGAUCUUCGGACCUCGCGCUAUCAGAUGAACCUGCGUCGGAUUAGCUAGUUGGUGGGGUAAAGGCCUACCAAGGCGAGGAUCUGUAGCUGGUCUGAGAGGACGAACAGACACACUGGGACUGAGACACGGCCCAGACUCCUACGGGAGGCAGCAGUGGGGAAUAUUGGACAAUGGGCGCAGGCCUGAUCCAGGAAUGCCGCGUGUGUGAAGAAGGCCUGAGGGUUGUAAAGCACUUUUAGUGGGGAGGAAGGCGUUUUUUCGAAUAGAGGAAAUGUUUGACGUUACCCGCAGAAAAAGCACCGGCUAACUCUGUGCCAGCAGCCGCGGUAACAC